rnacentral:tRNA from 1 species
GGCGAUGUUGGUGUAGUCCGGCAGCGCCUGGCUGUCGAUCAGGUAGCGCUGCUUGACCGUGCCGUCCGGUUCGGCGGCAUCGCUG